rnacentral:tRNA from 2 species
GCGAGAGUGGCGGAACUGGCAGACGCGCACGUUUGAGGGGCGUGUGGGCAACCGUGGGGGUUCGAGUCCCCCCUCUCGCACCA